UGAAUACGAGACGCUAAGGCGUCGAAGUAGUGUAUAUCAGACUUCCAAGAAAAGCUUGCACUGUCAUAGAUAAAAAAUGCCUGUACCAUAACCGACACAGGUGGGUAGGUAGAGUAUACUAAGGGGCGCGAGAUAACUCUCUCUAAGGAACUCGGCAAAAUAACUCCGUAACUUCGGGAGAAGGAGUGCCUUAUUUAUAAGGUUGCAAUAACAAGAUCCAAGCAACUGUUUAUCAAAAACACAGGUCUCCGCUAAGUCGUAAGACGAUGUAUGGGGGCUGACGCCUGCCCAGUGCCAGAAGGUUAAAGAAGUUGGUUAGCAAUUGCGAAGCUGAUAACUGAAGCCCUGGUGAACGGCGGCCGUAACAAUAACGGUCCUAAGGUAGCGAAAUUCCUUGUCGGGUAAGUUCCGACCCGCACGAAAGGCGUAAUGAUUUGGAUACUGUCUCGGAGAGGGGCUCGGUGAAAUAGACUUGUCUGUGAAGAUGCGGACUACCUGCACCAGGACAGAAAGACCCUAUGAAGCUUUACUGUAACUUGAAAUUGAAAUUGGACUUUAUUCGCGCAGCAUAGGUGGGAGGCGUUGAUUAUAAUCUUGCGGGAUUAUUGGAGCCAUCAGUGAGAUACCACUCUUGUAAUGUUAGAUUUCUAACUUUGAAUCAUUAUCUGGUCAAAGAACAGUUUCAGGCGGGCAGUUUGACUGGGGCGGUCGCCUCCUAAAUGGUAACGGAGGCGUACAAAGGUUUCCUCUGAACGGUUAGAAAUCGUAUCUAGAGUGUAAAGGCAUAAGGAAGCUUGACUGUGAGACCUACAAGUCGAGCAGGGACGAAAGUCGGUCUUAGUGAUCUGACGGUACUGAGUGGAAAGGCCGUCACUCAACGGAUAAAAGUUACUCUAGGAUAACAGGCUGAUCUCCCCCAAGAGUUCACAUCAACGGGGAGGUUUGGCACCUCGAUGUCGGCUCAUCGCAUCCUGGGGCGGUAGUACGUCCCAAGGGUUGGGCUGUUCGCCCAUGAAAGCGGUACGCGAGCUGGGUUCAGAACGUCGUGAGACAGUUCGGUCCAUAUCCGGUGUAGGCGUUAGAAUAUUGAGAGGAGCCUUCUUUAGUACGAGAGGACCGAGAAGGACAUACCUCUGGUGUACCAGUUAUCGUGCCAACGGUAAACGCUGGGUAGCUAUGUAUGGAGUGGAUAACCGCUGAAAGCAUCUAAGUGGGAAGCCCACCUCAAGAUAAG
rnacentral:rRNA from 1 species